rnacentral:rRNA from 1 species
GAUGAACGCUGGCGGCGUGCCUAAUACAUGCAAGUCGAGCGAACGGACGAGAAGCUUGCUUUUCUGAUGUUAGCGGCGGACGGGUGAGUAACACGUGGAUAACCUACCUAUAAGACUGGGAUAACUUCGGGAAACCGGAGCUAAUACCGGAUAAUAUUUUGAACCGCAUGGUUCAAAAGCGAAAGACGGUCUUGCUGUCACUUAUAGAUGGAUCCGCGCUGCAUUAGCUAGUUGGUAAGCUAACGGCUUACCAAGGCAACGAUGCAUAGCCGACCUGAGAGGGUGAUCGUCCACACUGGAACUGAGACACGGUCCAGACUCCUACGGGAGGCAGCAGUAGGGAAUCUUCCGCAAUGGGCGAAAGCCUGACGGAGCAACGCCGCGUGAGUGAUGAAGGUCUUCGGAUCGUAAAACUCUGUUAUUAGGGAAGAACAUAUGUGUAAGUAACUGUGCACAUCUUGACGGUACCUAAUCAGAAAGCCACGGCUAACUACGUG